UACGUAGGGGCCUAGCGUUGUCCGGAUUUAUUGGGCGUAAAGAGCUCGUAGGCGGUUCGGCAAGUCAGCUGUGAAAUCUCCACGCUUAACGUGGAGGGGUCAGCUGAUACUGCCGUGACUCGAGUCCGGUAGGGGAGUGUGGAAUUCCCGGUGUAGCGGUGAAAUGCGCAGAUAUCAGGAGGAACACCGGUGGCGAAGGCGGUUCUCUGGGCAUUACCUGACGCUGAGGAGCGAAAGUGUGGGGGAGCGAACAGG
rnacentral:rRNA from 1 species